rnacentral:rRNA from 1 species
GACGAACGCUGGCGGCGUGCUUAACACAUGCAAGUCGAACGAUGAAGCACCAGCUUGCUGGUGUGGAUUAGUGGCGAACGGGUGAGUAACACGUGAGUAACCUGCCCCUCACUCUGGGAUAAGCCUGGGAAACUGGGUCUAAUACUGGAUACGACCGAUCUCCGCAUGGAGUGUUGGUGGAAAGUUUUUGUGGUGGGGGAUGGACUCGCGGCCUAUCAGCUUGUUGGUGGGGUAAUGGCCUACCAAGGCGACGACGGGUAGCCGGCCUGAGAGGGCGACCGGCCACACUGGGACUGAGACACGGCCCAGACUCCUACGGGAGGCAGCAGUGGGGAAUAUUGCACAAUGGGCGAAAGCCUGAUGCAGCGACGCCGCGUGAGGGAUGACGGCCUUCGGGUUGUAAACCUCUUUCACCAGGGACGAGGCUAACGUGACGGUACCUGGAGAAGAAGCACCGGCUAACUACGUGCCAGCAGCCGCGGUAAUACGUAGGGUGCGAGCGUUGUCCGGAAUUAUUGGGCGUAAAGAGCUUGUAGGCGGUUUGUCGCGUCUGCUGUGAAAGACCGGGGCUUAACUCCGGUUCUGCAGUGGGUACGGGCAGACUAGAGUGUGGUAGGGGAGACUGGAAUUCCUGGUGUAGCGGUGAAAUGCGCAGAUAUCAGGAGGAACACCCGAUGGCGAAGGCAGGUCUCUGGGCCAUUACUGACGCUGAGAAGCGAAAGCAUGUGGGAGCGAACACG